AGUGGACGCUGGCGGCAGGCCUAACACAUGCAAGUCGAACGGCAGCACAGGGGAGCUUGCUCCCUGGGUGGCGAGUGGCGGACGGGUGAGGAAUACAUCGGAAUCUACCUUGUCGUGGGGGAUAACCUCGGGAAACCGGGACUAAUACCGCAUACGACCUACGGGUGAAAGCGGAGGACCGCAAGGCUUCGCGCGAUUGG
rnacentral:rRNA from 1 species